UACAGAGGUCUCAAGCGUUGUUCGGAUUCAUUGGGCGUAAAGGGUGCGUAGGCGGCGCGGUAAGUCGGGUGUGAAAUCUCGGGGCUUAACCUGGGAACUGCGUUUGAUACGGAUGGGCUAGAGUUCGGGAGAGGAGAGUGGAAUUCCCAGUGUAGAGGUGAAAUUCGUAGAUAGUUGGGAAGAACACCGGUGGCGAAGGCGGCUAUCUGGACCGACAUUGACGCUGAGGCGCGAAAGCGUGGGGAGCAAACGGG
rnacentral:rRNA from 1 species